GGUUAGAGAAUGACAAAGCACCUGACAAAAAGCAACUUAAUGGCUUACAGUUGGAGGGGCCGUGGUCCAUCGUGGUGGAAAGGAGCAGGUGCAACGUCACCAGCCACCUGCUGCUGAAAACACUGCGACCUCACACCAUCAACCAGAAGAAACCUUCCUUUCCCCAAGGUGCUUCUUGUCAGGAAGAUGCUUGCUCUGCAGAAGGACUAUGACCAGGAAGGAAAUCAGAGUUAGGGAUGUCUAGCAGCCUCUGAAAACGAGACGAGGACAUUCGACCGUAAUUGAAGGCCAUGUCU